AGUCAUUUAGCUAUAUAUAAGUAAGCGUUUUGAAAACGUUAGAAAGGUUUUCCUAAUGACUU
rnacentral:tRNA from 1 species